rnacentral:rRNA from 1 species
UACUGCAAGUCGAGCGGACAGAAGGGAGCUUGCUCCCGGAUGUUAGCGGCGGACGGGUGAGUAACACGUGGGUAACCUGCCUGUAAGACUGGGAUAACUCCGGGAAACCGGAGCUAAUACCGGAUAGUUCCUUGAACCGCAUGGUUCAAGGAUGAAAGACGGUUUCGGCUGUCACUUACAGAUGGACCCGCGGCGCAUUAGCUAGUUGGUGGGGUAAUGGCUCACCAAGGCGACGAUGCGUAGCCGACCUGAGAGGGUGAUCGGCCACACUGGGACUGAGACACGGCCCAGACUCCUACGGGAGGCAGCAGUAGGGAAUCUUCCGCAAUGGACGAAAGUCUGACGGAGCAACGCCGCGUGAGUGAUGAAGGUUUUCGGAUCGUAAAGCUCUGUUGUUAGGGAAGAACAAGUGCGAGAGUAACUGCUCGCACCUUGACGGUACCUAACCAGAAAGCCACGGCUAACUACGUGCCAGCAGCCGCGGUAAUACGUAGGUGGCAAGCGUUGUCCGGAAUUAUUGGGCGUAAAGGGCUCGCAGGCGGUUUCUUAAGUCUGAUGUGAAAGCCCCCGGCUCAACCGGGGAGGGUCAUUGGAAACUGGGAAACUUGAGUGCAGAAGAGGAGAGUGGAAUUCCACGUGUAGCGGUGAAAUGCGUAGAGAUGUGGAGGAACACCAGUGGCGAAGGCGACUCUCUGGUCUGUAACUGACGCUGAGGAGCGAAAGCGUGGGGAGCGAACAGGAUUAGAUACCCUGGUAGUCCACGCCGUAAACGAUGAGUGCUAAGUGUUAGGGGGUUUCCGCCCCUUAGUGCUGCAGCUAACGCAUUAAGCACUCCGCCUGGGGAGUACGGUCGCAAGACUGAAACUCAAAGGAAUU